rnacentral:tRNA from 1 species
AUUUAUAUAGUUUAAAUAAAACAUUACAUUUUCAUUGUAGUAAUAAAAAAAUUUUUUUUUUAUAAA